rnacentral:lncRNA from 1 species
CCCACACUCACUGCCCUUCUUCCCACAGCAAAUCUAUUUCAAGGACAGUACUUUUUAAAAUGAUUAAUGUUGAGUUCUCAACUAGCUCUGCAGAACUAGAGGAGCUGUUUGCAUCUGUCUGUGCGGAUGGAGUUUCUUUUAUCUGACACCAGGUCUCCAACCACACUGAAACAAGGCAUUUAUCUACAGAGCUCAACUAGAACCCCUUUUCAUUAGGCUACUCCACUUCCUUCCCC